rnacentral:lncRNA from 1 species
GCUUGUAGGUGAUGCCCUGAGUCACGACAGUGGUGAAGUGCGUGCUGCAGCAUGUAUAUGUUUGAAAAAUGUUUCUCGCUCAGUCAAGGUUUGUGGUAUUAAUAAUAGCCAAAAUUAAUUUUUAAUAAUGGCUAUUCAUGUAAUGAUCUUUGCUGACAAACUACUUCUCAGAAUCUUAGCACAGGUCUAUUUAUGAAUGAAAGCUUUGUUGUUCCCUUGGUUCGGCUUUUAGUUGAUGAUUUGACCUUUGUCCAGGUAAUUUUUUUUUUUUUUUUUUUUGCUUGUGUUCUCAUAUGAGUCUGUUUUUGCAACUUUGGCACCAUCACUGAUGCAUGACUGCUGGCUUUCAUGUCCUAUAUGUCGUUGAGCAUUAUCCAUUAUAGAAGUUGUGUUGAUUGGUUUGAAAUUGUAUGUUCGUGUUAGGCUGGGAUGGGCAUUGGUGCAUUAAUAAAGUGAAG